rnacentral:lncRNA from 1 species
UCCAUGGCAAAAAGACAUCUUGCAGCUGCUUUAGAGAAGUGACAUGUUGACAAAGCCAGGGAGCCAUUCCUCCUCCCAAACUGGAUUAAACAGCCUGUAGUGACCACAGUAAUUUAGUUUCUAAGAAGACUGUUUGCACAACUAUAGGACAAAAUGUUUCUUGCCACCACAGUCCUGUACAAACCCUCUUAAUCUCUGCUCUAGUGGCCCAUUUUAUUCAGAGCUAUGGAAUAAACCAGGAAAGAACUCCAAAGGAAAAAAGAGUCCCCCCCCAAUAACUGCUGGGGGUUUGCACAGCCACCCCAGUGUAAUACUGGUGAAACUGGGUCCCGCAUCUCAGGACCCAGCUUUAUUUUCUAGCUUUCCAAGAGCGUGGUAUUUGUUCCUGCCAGACUGGAAGCAAAUGAGCUCUCUUGUUUUGCUGGUAGGAACACAGUGAAUCACUUCUGAGCUAUUUGCUGUCUCUAAAUGUGUCCUCGCAUGUGUUGGCAGGUGUUCAGCACUCAGUGGGAGAGCCUCACCACCUGUCUGUCCUCGUAGAUAAAGGGAGCACCUAUUUCAACCAAAUUAAAUGAGCGAACAUCCAGUUCUUCUGCUGCAGCACCUCACCGACAGCAUGUAUGUAAUUACUUGCACGCUUUGCCUCCUACGACCUCUGCAGAGCCUUUGUUUUCCAAGGUAAUUUCCCAUUCUUUGUGUAUGACUCUCUCUCUAGGAGCAUGGAUUUAUAAUUUCACUUUUGUGCAGUUAAAUGUGUUUUGUGCUGACUAGUUCAAAACAAGCUGACUAGCUUCUGAACUUUCCACAUGCCUUACCUGAACAUAUCACACUUUGAGGCACUGGUACAGCUCACAUGGCUCUCUUUGCUCCUUUCCAGGACAUUACACACGCUAUUAACCAUCCUGGGACAGAUAACAUUGUAAAAUGUCAAUACAGAGUCUCUUCGUGUUUUAAAGGUUUAUUAGAUAUUUCUAAUGCUGUGGCUAUGUGCAAUUUUCUGACUGCUGUGGUGAUCUAUGGGCUUUGCCAAGGAAGGAGAGGGAUGAGCUGUGCCUUCCCCAUGCUUACAGAGUAAAUAUGAAGACUUGUUGAGUUGACCACUACUGUGGGCCACAGCUUCAAUGUGACUGACAAAGAGUUUUUGAGACUGAGAUCUACUUCAAAUUCACUCUAGUGCUGUCCACUGUGAAUGGGGUGUAGCACAGCAUUGGGCUAGUUAACGCCAAAGGCAGUAAUUUUAUUUCAAACUUCUGGCUCUUGAUUUUCUGAAGUUCAACAAAAAAUGGACAGAACCAAGUGCUGCAGUGUAGCUAUGGUGUGUAUUUGAUAUCAGCCUUCAGCUGAGCUGGGUAGGGUCACUGUUUCAAUGCAGAGCUUGUGGCUGGCUCCUCUCCUUUUUGACACUGGAGAACAGCAGGCAGAACUGUGCUCUUCAGACGAUCGAGACAGGGUCUCUGUCAAAGCCCUCUGCCUUGAUGUUGGCCAAAAGUUUUGGUCAUGUUGGCCUGCAGUUGCUUCUCUAAGAACCUUGGAAACAGCAAUGUAACUGUUUUGUUUGGUUGUUUUCUUUAUCUCGUUGGUUUUCUGGGUACCAGUGCUAAGCUCAAUGAGUAGUUUUACACCCUCCCCACUCCUUUGAGUGGCAUGUCAAUCCCAGUGGAAGGCUGUUCUACACAAACUUUACUGAAAAGGUUAUGAGGCAUUGGAAUGGGCUGCCCAGGAUGGUUCAUUCACCAUCCCUGGAGGUCUUUAAAAGACGUGUAGACGUAGAGCUCAGUGAUAUGGUUUAGUGGAGGACUUGUUAGGGUUAGGUCAGAGGUUGGACGAGGUGAUCUUGGAGGUCUCUUCCAACCGAGAUGAUUCUGUGAAGGCGUGCGAAAACCGUCGUUAACCGGUGCCGCGUGUGGGGUGUUCCCUUUUACCCCCCGACCCCUCGGGGAGUCCCGGUGAGCCCUGCUCCCGCCUGGCCGCUCCGUGGGGAGCCGUGUGGCGGCGGGGCCGCUGCCGGGCGGUGUCGGGGCUCGGUGCAGCUCGGUGCCGCCGCCGCCCCCCGCACAUGCUCACUGGGGCUCCGC